AGUGUGGAUGGGAGAGCCCAUGACUGUAGUUUAUGGAAGAAUAUAUUAAAGGGUAGGAAAGCCUUUGUGGAAUGUACUAGAUGGUGUGUUGAAAAUGGUUUAAAGAUAAGGUUUUGGGAUGAUACUUGGGUUGGAAAUGCUAGACUUAAAGACAGAUUUCCAAGAAUUUUCGAGAUUGCUCAGAACAGAAAUAUGACGGUAAGGGAGGCAUAUGUGGAAAAUGGAGACCAUAGCUAGUGGGAUGUGCAGGUGAAGAGAAAUUUGAAUGAUUGGGAGAUUGAUGAUUUUCAGCAACUAUAUCUGGUAUUAUCUGAAUUAAAAGUGGGUGGCCGGGAUGAUUAUAAACAGUGGACGUUGGAGAAAUAUGAGAUUUUUUCUGUGAAAUCCCUAUAUUGUAACCUUUGAGGUGGAAAGGUGAAAGCUGAAUCUGUGUUUCCAUUUAAGCAAGUAUGGAGACUAAAGCACCUCCAAGAUUGACUUUUUUUAUGGGAAGUGUGCAGAGGAAGUGUUUUAACUAUAGAUGUGCUCAUGAGGAAGGGGAGAUGAAUGGUGAAUAGAUGUUAUAUGUGCAAAUGUUAUGCUGAACCUUGUAACCAUAUAUUAUUGUGGUGUUCGCCAGAUCUAUGAAUUUCUAUUUAUGGAAUGUUGGGAAUCAAAUGGGUUAUAGUGGGGUCGGUUAAGGAUGAAUUGUGGGCUUGGGGUAGAUUGUGUGAUAAGAAAAAAUAUUUAAUGCUGAUUCCAUUAUCUCUAACGUGAGUUGUGUGGAAAGAGAGAAAUUCAAGAGCUUUUGAGGGAAUAGAAAAUAAUUUUAAAAACAUCAAGGAUAGAUGGUUUCAUCUUUUUGAUUCUUUAUUCUUGGAACAUAAUAUUCAGGAUCUUGAAAAUUUGAGGAUGGUUUUAAAUCAUUUGAUUGAGCUGUAACUGUUGUAUAUUGGGCAGUACCUCCUUGGUACCUUUGGAAUGAUAUCUCUUUUUAUUUCAAAAAAAAAAAAAGAGUCACAAGGUUAUAUUCUUCUUCUCCUUGUAGCCACCCCAUAGAAAUCUACCCCAUAUAGCCUCUAGCUUCUUUCUCACUCUAGCCACAAGGUUAUAUUCCCAUAAAGUAAAUUGGAAUAUUAGCCUGGGAAGUUAUCCAUUUUGGAGAUGUUAUGUCUUUAUUUCCAAGAAUCUGGACCCUGACUUGAUCAAUUUACUGUUGGGACCUGCAAAAAAAUCAUAAAGUUGUUCUUUUUCAAGAGAAUUCUUCAACAUUAUAGCAUCUUUUGCGUGCUUAAUUGCAGCACUCCAAUAAUGGUCACAUUCUUGGCAUAUACGCUGUAUUUGCAUUAUGGGUUACUGUUUAACUGCCUUGUUUCAUUGUUCUGUCACAUGCUCUACAAAAGGUUUUUAUAGUCGGCAAUAAUGUUUAAGGAUGAAAUCAUUUUGGUUGUUUCUAAUAUCUUGUCUAGAAUGGUGUGUAGAAUCUCCUGUAAGGAUCCACAGCAAAGACAUAAGACGAGGAUUCUGGUGAUUAAAGUUGUGGAUAGAAAGCUCAAGUCUAGUGAGGGAGCAUGCGAUGCAGUUUGGCAGCUGUUACCAGUGAUAAAUCCACAAUGAACUCUGUUUUUUUUUUCUUAACAGAAAUGUAUGGGCAUAAGUUGGCAAUGAAGGCCAAUGAAAAUCUAGGACAGAGCCUAGGGCCAUGUGGAAUUUUUUGGACAGCAACCGAUUUUUUUGUAUGUUGAGAAGGAGCAUAUACAUGGGUAGGUCUAUGGGUAGAAUAGUAGUUAUUUUUUGAGGUAGUUACAAAGAGAAAAAAUAGGAAACUGAUUACAUCAAAUCAAAUUAAUUUGCUAAUACUGAGACAGAAGACAGUGAUUUUCCCACAGGAAGCACAUGUGAAGAAGAGUUAUUUCAUUUUUUUCCUAGGGAUGUCUAGUUGUUGGCAUUUAUUAUUUGCAAUUUACCAGUGUGGAACCAACAAUAGGAAGAAAUGUGAUCAUCUACACUUAUUCCUUAGGAAUCUGUCCGAGACAGAUGAAAUGGUAUAACUCCCUUUGGUCUAGAAAUUUUGGCUAUUUUUGUUAAACUUUUUGGUCAGGAUGUCAUUGAUUUUGGCUAGGAAAUUAUCAGCUUAGAUCCUAGAAACUUGAAGCAAAUGUUGUAGCAUCCUAUACACGUACUCCAAGGAGGUGAAUAAAUCUGCUAAAUUUCACAAAUUAGAGUAUUUCUCUAGAGAUUGAGGGUUUUCUUCAUCGUUGAUGCGAAACAAAAGGGUACUUUUUACUGAACCCUAAAAUAUUAUCAUCAUAGGUUGAUAAAGACUGGAAGUCUGACAGGCCAGCGUCCCACUUUGUGCAAGAUUUCAUAUGUUUUUAAUGUAUUUUUUGCUAGAUUUCAUGGUUGUCCGACCAUGGUGACAUCUCAACCUGGAGACCAUGACAGAUCUUUAUCUUUUAGCUUGUUGCUGUUUGUGGUCCAUUUAAUAGAAUUGAUAAUUCUGAUACAGGGAACAUGAUAAGAAGGUUUGCUGUUUGGGAUUAACUUCAGUAAUUGGUCUCCCUGCUGAUCAGUUACCAGGGGAAGCUUUGGAGCGUGUUUUCAAGGCCACUCUUGAUCUCUUAGUUGCAUACAAAGAGCAAGUUGCAGCUGCCAAAGAGGAAGAGGCCGAAGAAGAUGAUGAUAUGGAUGGCUUUCAAACUGAUGAUGAAGAUGAUGAUGGUGAUGGGUCUGACAAGGAAA